rnacentral:rRNA from 1 species
UUAAACGGCCACGGUACCCUAACCGUGCGAAGGUAGCACAAUCACUUGUUCUUUAAAUUAGGACCAGUAUGAACGGCUUAACGAGAGCUACACUGUCUCCCCCCCCCAAUCAGUGAAACUGAUCUCCUCGUGAAGAAGCGAGGAUAAACAUACAAGACGAGAAGACCCCAUGGAGCUUUAAACUUGUACCACCGCCUAAACUAACACCAAUAAACUUAGGCAAACAAUGGUUACGAGUCUUUCGGCUGGGGCGACCAUGGAGGAAAACAAAACCUUCACGAUGAAAGGGGGCAACCCCUAAUCAAAGAGCUACCGCUCAGAGAAUCAAUAAACUGACACAUUGACCCAAAUUUUUUUGAUCAACGAACCAAGUUACCCUGGGGAUAACAGCGCAAUCCAUUUCAAGAGACCCCAUCGACAAAUGGGCUUACGACCUCGAUGUUGGAUCAGGGUACCCCAGUGGUGCAGCCGCUACUAAAGG